AGUGAACGCUGGCGGUAGGCCUAACACAUGCAAGUCGAACGGCAGCACAGUAAGAGCUUGCUCUUACGGGUGGCGAGUGGCGGACGGGUGAGGAAUACAUCGGAAUCUACUUUUUCGUGGGGGAUAACGUAGGGAAACUUACGCUAAUACCGCAUACGACCUACGGGUGAAAGCAGGGGAUCUUCGGACCUUGCGCGAUUGAAUGAGCCGAUGUCGGAUUAGCUAGUUGGCGGGGUAAAGGCCCACCAAGGCGACGAUCCGUAGCUGGUCUGAGAGGAUGAUCCGCCACACGGGCAGUGAGACACGGUCCACUCCCCCGCGGGGGGCCGCAGUGGAGUAUUUUGGACAAUGGGCGCAAGCCUGAUCCAGCCAUACCGCGUGGGUAAAGAAGCCUUUCGGUUUGUAAAGCCCUUUUGUUGGAAAAAAAAAGCUGCGGGUUAAUCCCCCGCUGUUCUGGCGGUCCCCAAAGAAUGCGCCCCGGCUCUCUUCG
rnacentral:rRNA from 1 species